UACGUAGGUGGCAAGCGUUAUCCGGAUUUAUUGGGUUUAAGGGGUGCGUAGGCGGGCUUUUAAGUCAGCGGUAAAAAUUCGGGGCUCAACCCCGUCCGGCCGUUGAAACUGGGGGUCUUGAGUGGGCGAGAAGAAGGCGGAAUGCGUGGUGUAGCGGUGAAAUGCAUAGAUAUCACGCAGAACCCCGAUUGCGAAGGCAGCCUUCCGGCGCCCUACUGACGCUGAGGCACGAAAGUGCGGGGAUCGAACAGG
rnacentral:rRNA from 1 species